GAGGAUCCAGGGAUGAGGAUAGAGUGG
rnacentral:piRNA from 1 species